GGAAGGAUCAUUAACACGUAUCCACGUUUAUCAACCAAUGCGAACUCGUUUUCCCGUCUCCCUUUGGCACUAGAAUGAAUUGGAACCAGUUUGAGGGAAUUGAUGUGGGCUGCUUCACGGCAGUCGGCCUUCCUGGUACACUUAUGUCGGAGAAAUCUGAUAUUGACAAUUGAAUCUUUUGUUUGAAGGCCAAAUUUCUUAAUUCUACUUUGAUCUCCAUCAUGAUCGCCGAGUAGUUUUAGGAGUAAACAUUUAAACCAUUUUCACCACCUUUUUGCUAGUUGACUUUUUAUCUGUGAUUAUUUUGUCUCGUGCAAUGUUUUCACACGUUUAAUUAAUUGAACGUUAAAAAAUACAACUCUUAGCAAUGGAUAUCUUGGUUCUCGCAACGAUGAAGAACGCAGCGAAAUGCGAUACGUAAUGCGAAUUGCAGAAUUCAGUGAAUCAUCAAAUCUUUGAACGCAAAUUGCGCUCUUGGGUAGCCCUAGGAGCACGCCUCUCUCAGUAUCGGUUCAACAAUCUCUCAGCAGCGUAUUGAUUUUUUAGAUUUUAUUUAUUUAAAUGAAAAGAAAGAAAUGCGUGUUGGCUGGAUAAUGAGAGUCCGAGUGCUUGUCGCUCGGUCUCUUGAAAUACAUUGAGUAAACAUGACUAACGAUCAAUUCCUUGCAAAAGGAUAGUCAAGUCUUUGACUUGUUUGUUUCGAUAGUGACAUGAAUAUUGGCCUUCAUUUGUCUCCUUUUUAUGUUUAUCUAUUGGAGCGAACUACUAUAGUUAAUUAUUUGGUGAACGUUCGACCUAGCUUAUGUUUAUGUUUAGAAAUCCAUAUGGUUUUAAUUUUUUUCGCAAGAAGAAGACAAAACCUGAAUUUUGAUCUGAGAUGAAGCGAGACAACCCCCUGAAUUUAAGCAUAUUAAUAAGGGGAGGAAAAGAAACUAACAAGGAUUCCCCUAGUAACGGCGAGUGAAGCGGGAAGAGCUCAAUUUGAAAAUCGAUUACCUAAACGGGUCAUCGAGUUGUAGCCUAGAGACGUACUAUCAGCUGAAACCUGGGUAUAAGUUCUUUUGAAUGAGGCAUCAUAGAGGGUGAGAAUCCCGUAUAUGACCCAAAGCUUUCAGCGUACGAUGUAUGUUCAUCGAGUCGAGUUGUUUGGGAUUGCAGCUCUAAAUGGGUGGUAAGUUUCAUCUAAAGCUAAAUAAUGGCGAGAGACCGAUAGCGAACAAGUACCGUGAGGGAAAGAUGAAAAGAACUUUGAAAAGAGAGUUAAAAGUACUUGAAAUUGCUAAGAGGGAAGCGCUAAAAACCAGUGAUACGUUAGGUCAAUCGUCUUCGGCUUCUCGUAAAUUAUGUUCGGCAAUGGGCAACCUUGUCGGGUGUAGUUGAAAGGAUGGUUGUGGAUUUAUGAUUUAGCGUCAGUCAAGAUCAAUUCGGGUUCUGUGGGAGAAGGUGGCGAGAAAGGUAGGAGGAGCAAUCCUCUGUUAUAUUCUUGUUACUCUACCUCGGCCUGGAUUGAGGAAGUAAUGGUGCGCCGCUUGCGGCUUGAUCCUGCGUCUCUGUUGUCCCACUUGCUCUGAUAGCAAUGCUAUCUCUGUGACGAAAGGCAAUACUGGGCGUGGUGAUUCUAUGUGCCAUCACGAUCUUGUACGAAAUGGUUUUUAUCGACCCGUCUUGAAACACGGACCAAGGAGUCUAACAUCUAUGCAAGUAUUUGGGUGAAAAACCCUGAUGCGUAAUGAAAGUAAAGGUAGACUUGUUCUACUGAGGUAGGAAUCUCCUUCACCGGGGAGGCACUAUCGACCGAUCAUCACUUGUGAAAGAUUUGAGUAAGAGCAUAUCUGUUGGGACCCGAAAGAUGGUGAUCUAUGCCUGAACAGGGUGAAGCCAGGGGAAACUCUGGUGGAGGCUCGUAGCGAUACUGACGUGCAAAUCGUUCGUCUGAUUUGGGUAUAGGGGCGAAAGACUAAUCGAACCAUCUAGUAGCUGGUUCCCUC
rnacentral:misc_RNA from 1 species